CCUACGGGGGGCAGCAGUGAGGAAUAUUGGUCAAUGGACGAGAGUCUGAACCAGCCAAGUAGCGUGAAGGAUGACUGCCCUAUGGGUUGUAAACUUCUUUUAUAAAGGAAUAAAACGAGGCACGUGUGCCUUUUUGCAUGUACUUUAUGAAUAAGGAUCGGCUAACUCCGUGCCAGCAGCCGCGGUGAUACAUAGGGGGCAAGCGUUGUCCGGAAUGACUGGGUGUAAAGGGUGUGUAGGUGGCUUAUUAAGUUAGAGGUGAAAGCCCGAAGCUCAACUUCGGAACUGCCUUUAAAACUGGUUGGCUUGAGUGUGGGAGAGGUGAGUGGAACUCCUAGUGUAGCGGUGGAAUGCGUAGAUAUUAGGAAGAACAUCAGAGGCGAAGGCGACUAACUGGAACAUGACUGACACUGAAACACGAAAGCGUGGGGAGCAAACAGGAUUAGAUACCCCGGUAGUC
rnacentral:rRNA from 1 species